AACAUGCAUGGUUUAGGAAAGCUCUAUUCAAUAUAGAAUUAGGAAUCUUCAUGGGAGGUUCUGAAUUCUUGUAUGCCUAUAUAAAGGGACUUUAGCCUUGCUCGAUCUAUCGAUCACUACAAGAAGUACAUAUUCACUGUCCCAUAGCGUGAUUGCAUCCGAAAAAUUGAUCAGAGGCCAACUUGAUUCAAGGCAGAUUCGUGACAUAUAUAAGCGUCGACCUGGUAAGUAGGUCAUAAGUGAUAACUGAGAUCCCCUCAACUCGCCGCAAGGAAGUCCCUUCGGCGUCAUCGGAUAAAAUUGGAACUCGCCGCAAUGAGUUCGCGUUGGGAGCGUGAAGUCCCCGGAUGGGCAGAUCCCCCGAUCCAAAAGGCAAAAAAGGCAAAGCAAAAGCCAGACGAUUUAGCAUAGGACCAGCUCCGUCAGAUCUACACAUUGGUCCCGGUCGCUGGCCCUCUUAACAACAAGAAGGAACGUAUAAAAUGGUUUAAGGUGUUCUGUAACGUUUGUAAAAAAUUCAACGGUUGCAUCAACUGUGAUCGGUUGCAAGAUUAUGAUUAUCUCCAACAUCAUGCAGCAAUCAUCCACGGUUUAGGUUUAGGAGAAAAUGAGACCAAAAUGGAAGAGGAUAAGCAUGAUGAAGACACGAGUAUGGUACCAGGAUCAUCUUCUGAUUUCUCAGAGGGCCAGCUCCGUAAGAUCUACGACUUGGUUCCGGAACCUGGUCCUGCUGACAUGUUAGAAGAUAAGGAACCUAUAAAAUGGUUUACGUUGUUUUGUGAGCUGUGUGCUUCUGUUGUGGGUUGCAUCCAAGAGGGUUCUAACUUGCAGGAUUGUCGUGCCACCCAUCAACAUGCAUCAAUCCACCGCGAUGUUUUGCUUGACCUUCCUACAGGUAUUAAUCAAUGUCAUGAAGACACUAGUAUGGCACCAAGACCAAUACCAUAUCACUCAGAGGCGGAGCUCCUUCGGAUCUACUCUGUACGUUCAUACACUACGGGGGAUUUAGGAGGUCUGCGGAGCCUCCUAGUGAGGAGCCUGUAGUGGUUUGGUAUGCAGUGGCUUGUAAGCUCUGUUUGGAGGUUGAAUAUACCACCCAAGAUUAUCCUAGCUUGCAGGAUAGUCAUUGGUUGCAAAAACAUGCUUUGACGGCGCACAGCGAGUACUUGUCUAUGGAUGCCCCUACAGUACCAGAUCUUGAAGAUUUCAACAGCGAGCAGCUGAUAGGGUACGAGGGACCAGACUUUUUCUUGGGUGAAGAUGAUGCACAUCUGCAGGAGGGAUUUGUAAAGGUUUGUCGGAUGUGUCACUGUGAAAAUUGUAGCAGCGGUGACUACAGAUCUCAUAUGAUGUAUUGUGAUGUUUGUAAUGAAUCUGGUACCCACCUGUCUUGGAAUUGUCCUACAGGAAAUUGGGAGCUUGGACAGCCUACACCGUGCAACCGCUCGAACUGAAAUGAAGGAAUCAGUAACUAGAACCUUUUAGACAAUGCAUCUAUAUAUGGGUGCCUGAGUUGCCCCAAGCUGUAUGCAUGGUUUAAUAUGCCUUGUUAACUUAUGAAAUAUGAUUUGCUAUAAUUUGUGAGAUUGUUGGAGUCAUGUUGCUUGAUUGUUCAUUUUUAUCCAGAUGACAAUGUGUCAUUAUGGGUGGAUUAUGUGUAAUCAAUCUAUGAUAUCGAGCUUGUUUUU